rnacentral:misc_RNA from 1 species
GAAGUGCGAUAAGUGUCAUGACUUGCAGAUCCCCGAGAGCUGACAAAUUUCUGAAUGCAAAUGGCGACCAACUUACCAUUGGCCAUGUAUUGCAGAGUGUAGUUGUUCCUACUCAUCAUCCUUCUGAAACCCGUUUCACACAGGUUUCAGCACAAGGGAUCUGCGCUUGUACACACGUGCGAGCGUGAAACGUCAGAGUGGAUGCCUCUCUCUCUCUCUCGAGAGGGAGGGAGACGUCCGACUUCGGAAGGUAUCUAUAUUCUUUUAGAAGUUCCCCCAUACUCUGUCUCGUACGUACACCACUACGAGAACCCUUCUCCCUAUUCACCUCUGCAAUGCAGGAAAACCCGCUGAACUUAA